UACGUAGGGUGCAAGCGUUGUCCGGAAUUAUUGGGCGUAAAGGGCUCGUAGGCGGUCCAUCGCGUCGGGAGUGAAAAGCUGGGGCUUAACCCCAGUCCUGCUUCCGAUACGGGUGGACUAGAGGUAGGUAGGGGAGAACGGAAUUCCUGGUGUAGCGGUGAAAUGCGCAGAUAUCAGGAGGAACACCAGUGGCGAAGGCGGUGCUCUGGGCCGGAACUGACGCUGAGGAGCGAAAGCGUGGGGAGCAAACAGG
rnacentral:rRNA from 1 species